GGAGUUUGGGCCGUGUCUCAGUCCCAAUGUGGCCGUCCGACCUCUCAGUCCGGCUACAGAUCGUCGCCUUGGUAAGCCGUUACCUUACCAACUAGCUAAUCUGACGCGGGCCCAUCUCAUACCACCGGAGUUUUUCACACUAUAUCAUGCGAUACCGUGCGCUUAUGCGGUAUUAGCAGUCGUUUCCAACUGUUGUCCCCCUGUGUAAGGCAGGUUACCCACGCGUUACUCACCCGUCCGCCACUAAGUCAUCCCAAUUGAUUCUACUUUGAGCAAGCUCUCCAUUUCAUCGGGCGGGACGCUUCGUUCGACUUGCAUGUGUUAAGCACGCCGCCAGCGUUCAUC
rnacentral:rRNA from 1 species